UGUGUGAGAGCAGUCUUAGUGUUUCUUUAUUGGAAUCUGAAUAGAUGGCUUCUUCGUGUUCUUCUUGUUCUGCUCGUUCUGGCUCUUCUUCAUGUUCUUCUUGUUCUGCUUGUUCUGGCUCUUCUUCUUGUUCUCCUUCUGCAUAUGAUUCUGAUACCUCCACCACUAAAACCACACCCUUCCCCUAUCCCACCACUUCCGUCGUAAGUCCCGUCAAAUUCGACGGCCAAAACUUCCUCGCCUGGGAGGCCUACGUCUACCUCUGGUUCUUCGGUCAGGGGCUCAUCGAACACUUGACCAUGAAACCGAUCGAAAUUGCUAGAGAUGAAAGGGAGCGGUGGUUGCGAACCGAUUA
rnacentral:lncRNA from 1 species